AGUGAAUAGAUACCCGGGUAGUCCACGCCCUAAACGAUGUCAACUAGGUGUUGGGGAAGGAGACUUCUUUAGUACCGCAGCUAAACGCGUGAAGUUGACCGCCUGGGGAGUACGGUCGCAAGAUUAAAACUCAAAGGAAUUGACGGGGACCCGCACAGGCGGUGGAUUAUGUGGAUUAAUUCGAUGCAACGCGAAAAACCUUACCUACCCUUGACAUGUCAGGAAGAUCGCAGAGAUGUGAUUGUGCCCGAAAGGGAACCUGAACACAGGUGCUGCAUGGCUGUCGUCAGCUCGUGUCGUGAGAUGUUGGGUUAAGUCCCGCAACGAGCGCAACCCUUGCCAUUAAUUGCCAUCAUUCAGUUGGGCACUUUAACUGGGUACUGCCGGUGAUAAACCGGAGGAAGGUGGGGGUUGACGUCAAGUCCUCAUGGCCCGUUAUGGGUAGGGUCGUUCACACGUAAUACAAUGGUCGGUACGAGA
rnacentral:rRNA from 1 species